CGGUCGCGAGCUCAGUUGGUAGAGCAGUUGACUUUUAAUCAAUUGGUCGCAGGUUCGAAUCCUGCACGACCCACCA
rnacentral:tRNA from 1 species